rnacentral:lncRNA from 1 species
GGACGAACACAGGGAGGAGAGCACGGCGACCUCGCCGAUUUUAGAACCCGGCGGCGGCGGCAAAGGUGCUAGCGAGACAGAGCGGUAGCAUUCGAGGCCAGGGUCGAGGGCGUGACAACACAGCGGAGGAGCUGUACGCCGCGGUGAUUUGCGGACGAGUUCCGACACGCAGCGACGGUUGUUCGCCGAUUCUUCAGUGGCGGCGGCGGCUGAUUUCUGAGGAAGAAGAGCUAGGGCAUAUAAAUUUAGAAGAAAAGGGUAGUCUGGAUUGAGGAAUUUAGAGGAAGAGAUUGUGAGGGGGAGAGUGAGUCGGAGGGGAGGCCCCAUCGGAAUUUCAGAGCGGCGGCGGUUCGGCGUGGAGGCGGCAACGGCUGGCUGGAGUACACGGCCGAUCUUGG